CAAGUAAACCGGGUGACUGCCUGUCCGGGCCGUUCGCGGUCCGGGUGGGAGGAAAGUCCGAGCUCCACCGGGCAGGAUGCUGGGUAACACCCAGGGGGGGUGACCCCACGGAAAGUGCCACAGAAACAUACCGCCUGUACCUGUUAUCGUUCCCGAAAACAGGUGCGGGUAAGGGUGAAAUGGUGAGGUAAGAGCUCACCAGCGGCUGGGAGACCAGUCGGCUGGGCAAACCCCAUCCGGAGCAAGACCGAAUAGGGGGAAGUAUGGCGCCCGGCCUUUUCCCCGGGUUGGUCGCAUGACCCUGGUGGCAACACCAGGGCUAGAUAGAUGGUCACCGCUCCGGGAAACCGGAGUACAGAACUCGGCUUACAGGUUUACUUGACCC
rnacentral:RNase_P_RNA from 1 species